GGAAAAGUAGGAGGACAGACUCGUGAAGGGAACGGCCAGAAGAAGAAGAAGAAUGUUGGGUAUGGCGUGCCUGAUCCAGCACAUAAUUAAACAAAACCAGCAGAGGGCGCCACGUUAACACAUGUUUCGAUAGAUAAGAUUCGAUAGAUUCGAUGACAACAGCAGAAAAAGAUCACGUCUUUAUUAUACAUAAAAUGAGUCCAAACUAAAACCACUUUGUGUUUGAAAAGUUCUGCUGAGUCUCAGGACUGAAAUCCACUUCCUGUCAGCCUCAGGACAAGAAAACACAUGAAGUCCAGAUAAAUUACGGCUGUGGGGAAGUGAGGAAGAAAGUCCCGUCCAAAUCACACAACACCACUGAUGGCCUGGUUCUGUCUGUGAGAAACCACUGUUCUCAAGGAAUGGACUGAAGGUUCAAAGACAACGUUCACCCAGUCCAAAGUAGUCCAGAUAUGAAGAACAACAAUAAAUAGAACUCUUCUCCUCCUCCUCUUCCACCUUCUUCUACUCCUCCUCCUCUCCCUUCGUCUUCCUCCUCCUCCUUCUCAAGUAUUCAACCCUGCUGUUGUUUUUUCUAAACUCCUCUCCCACUGUUUGAUGUUUUUUCCUAGCUGUCCAAGCUGCUGGUAGGUUGGAGUAUUGCGUGUCAUCUCACAAACAAGCCCUUCUGUCUAGUCCAUUUGUCCAGGGUCCAGACCAGAUGCAGCAGGGACCAUGUGAACAACCAGCACAGGGUCCAGACCAGCUGCAGCAAAGACCAUGAUGAGAUAAAUUGUGCCCUUUAGCUGGUACAUCGUUUCUAUUCACGUAGAAGCCUAACUCCCCUCGACCUUCGCACGUGUUGUCAGCUAGACUGAUGCAGAUGUUCACUGUUGCAGAACAAACUUCCCUCCACUUUACAGCCCUUCCUCCAGUUUGUCCAAGAGAAAUCACAUUUAAAAUGUAACCCCACCUGAAACCUUGCAUGGACCAAUCGGGUGUGGAUAUGUCAGAGCAUGCUCCUCUCCCUGCUUUGUUCAAAACCAAUCAGAGUGGAAGUGUGGCAUUUUCCCUGAGGGGAAAACUUACCCCAUGGAUGUGUUAAUUACGCAUCACUUAGCUGUUGCAAAUGUGUUCACAACGGUGGACCCUAGUUUGGGCAUUUUACAACGGCUCCUUUCAUUUUACGACUCAGUCUAUUAUGGAAAGAAGGCAACAAUGGCUUAGCAGGCUAAAGAAUGAGCUUAGCAACAGUCCUCUGGUGUCAAAUGUGGCAUUUGGCUUCAUACUCAUGGGACUAGAGAAGCUGGUGGAGAUGGACUUUGAAUGUCCUUGCAACCCUACAUGGAAUGGUUUUCAUCAGCCUGCAUCAUCAUGCCUGCUGUCAUGGCCCUCACCCUGAUGCUGAUCAUUCAAGGAUGCAGAAACGAUGCCCGGUGCAGAUAUGUAGCCUGGUGCAGAAAACCUGUUUCCUUGUCCUUUUUUGUCCCUGCGGUCGUCUGGGUGCUUCUGAUGUUCCUUGAUGGCCAGUACUAUACUUGUGGUAUGACUGAUUGGAAGGGAAGAUUUGUACUGGUUGAGAAAGCAGCUCCGCUGAAGUGGUGUGAGCCAGUUAGUGAGAGCAACGCCACCCCACAAGAACUAAUGCUGCGCUCACAGAAGCUCUUUUUUACCUCUCAGGGUAUAGGCAUUGUCAUCCUCCUUGGUCUCUGUGUGGGUCUGAUAGUAUAUCUAAUCAGAGAAGGCUGCCACCAAGAGCUGCAAAUGCAGAAUGCGGGUGGGUCUAAUGUAACUCAGCAAAGAAUGCAAUCCAUACAGAGCAGUGAGAGCGCACCCUGACUUCCUCACUGGCCCAUGUGGCAUGGACCCUUUGUAAAUACAAUACUAUCAAAACUGGCUGUAAAAUGUCUCAUUUUAUAAGAUGCCUCCUCAACCCCCUCCCUGACCUCCCCAAACAGGCACUUUUCCUCCUCUUUAUGAGUAAAUGACUUAAACUGGGUUAAUUGGCUGCUUAAUUAAGUCGUGUAAAGAAGGCAGACAUGUUCGUAGCCUCAUAUCUCCUGUUUUAUUUCAUCAUAAAUACAAUGGUUACAUGUUUAAUUUUUAUGAUAUUGUAAAUCAUAAAUGUGAUGACAGUUAUUUUUACUUCAGCUAUUGUAUGAAAUAUACUUGCAAAAAUAAAACGUUUCAACAAAUUGACUGGAGGCUUAUUCAGAACUUCUUUUUAGAAAUGUUUCUUCCAAUCAAAUCACACAGUUAAAAUAAAUCCCACAUUUAUUUUUUAUAUUGAAUUAUAUACAAUGCAGUAAAGUUAAUAUUAUUCAAUUCAUUUGCUUUUAUGAAUACUUUUGAAAACUUUUUUAUUCACUUUUAAUUUUUUUUCGGAGACAAACUUUAAAGCAAAACAACCUAAUGAAG